rnacentral:lncRNA from 1 species
UUCCAUGCAGAUCAAAUCCUUCUAUACUUUGGAAUCAGCCAAAAGAAAAAUGAGGAAAUGCAUUGACAUCAUCCUACAAAUCAUGAUUGACUUCUGCUUUGGAACAGAGGUCCCCUGGACGGCUUCCCACAUGUCACAUCACACACCGAUGUACGAGGCAGAGCCCAAAGGCCACGCUUUUGAAAAAAGGAAAACAAGAACAAGCCCUGUUGCUCUGUACGGAGAGAGGAAGGAGCAGAGGCUGCUGGGGCCUGUCCCACGUAGGCCUGUCUCUGUAAAGCAGCUUCCCAGCAGCAGUGUGACCCGGUUCUAGGUGAGGGUCUCACCUUUUGUCACCCAUGCCUUAAUGUACUCUAUUCUCCGUUCGAGGGCUGUCAAUUUCUCCUUUAGUGUUGCAUGUCUUGAACGACAAGACAUAUCGAACGAGUUGAGAACGUCUGUGAUUUUCUUGAUGCUGCUGGUGAUGACCUCCAUGUACUCCUGGUUCGCUCAGUCCUGGUGAAUCUCGCGCUGCACCGGAUCCUCUUGACCCGCCAUGGCUGCCGCCUAAGGAGGAGCAGAGUUUUAGUUUUAAAGCAGUUACAGUUUUGAUUCUCAAAACGACUGAAGUUUUUAGCCAACUUCAAUUAAAAAAUUCAUCAAUGAUAGAAUAAUGCAUUAUUUACAAAUGAAUAAAAAUGAGUUAGAAAACACAUAUAAUCCUUUCAGUUCAGUUAGAGUGUAAACUAGUAUUUAUCAAGACCAGAUGUAUGCAUUUCCUUAGAUAGUUUCAUCCAUAUUGUCACAUGUAAUUCUUACGGUUCUCUAUAGUUAGCAUCCUUAUCCCUGCUUUACAAUUGACAAAAUCGAGGCUAGGAGCAAUUAAUUGUCUUCACAGAGCUCAUAUAUUAAUGACAUGAAAGAACUAAAAAUUUGAAUCCUACACCUGUUUAAAAACCAAUAUUAUUUUCCAUUUCACCAUCCUACUCCUCUUAGUAAAAAUGACAAUGAUGAUGCUUUGUACGCAUAUGUCCUAUCUGUGGAAAAAUUGCCACAGCCUCCCUAAGGACAGGGAUGAGGUCUUUUAUUUUUGCAAUAUCCCUAAAUUCUCAAGAAAUAUUGUUUGAAAAUAGAAUAGCUCCUGAUAUUUACAUAAUGUUAUUUAAUUUUUCAAUGAGAUUUCAAUGAUAGAAAUAAAUUGUGCUCUUCUACCCCUUAGUGUUUAAAUGCAAUUAUUCUGACUUAUUUCACAGCAGACUAAUUUCAUCAUCCUUUUAAAUUUACCUUAUAUAAAAGGUGUAUAAAUGCAAAUGCAGCUUUUAUGCUAUAAUUCUUGGAAUGUGUGUUACAAUACCAGGCUCAUACAAAAUAUAUUUAACUUCAUUUGUAGGCUGUUUUAACACUAUGAGUUGCUUUACAAAUA